rnacentral:rRNA from 1 species
UACAGAGGUCUCAAGCGUUGUUCGGAUUCAUUGGGCGUAAAGGGUGCGUAGGUGGCGCUGUAAGUCGGGUGUGAAAUUUCGGAGCUUAACUCCGAAACUGCAUUCGAUACUGCGGUGCUUGAGGACUGGAGAGGAGACUGGAAUUCAUGGUGUAGCAGUGAAAUGCGCAGAUAUCAAGGAGGAACACCGGUGGCGAAGGCGGGUCUCUGGGCCGAUACUGACGUGGAGGAGCGAAAGCGUGGGGAGCGAACAGGA